rnacentral:rRNA from 1 species
UACCGCGGUUAAACGAGAGGCCCCAGUUGAUAGCACGCGGCGUAAAGAGUGGUUAGGGAUAAAGAACUUUUUUAAAGCCAAAUGGCCCCUUAGCUGUCAUAAGCUUUUAGAUGUCCGAAACCCAGUAACACGAAAGUAGCUUUAACACAACAACCCGACCCCACGAAAGCUAAGAAA